GAUGAACGCUAGCGGCAGGCUUAAUACACGCAAGUCGAGGGGCAGCGCGGGUAGCAAUAUCUGGCGGCGACCGGCAAACGGGUGCGGAACACGUACAGAACCUUCCUUUAAGCGGGGGAUAGCCCAUAGAAAUGUGGAUUAAUACCCCAUAGUAAUGUUGAGUGGCAUCACUUGAUAUUUAAAGAUUUAUCACUUAAAGAUGGCUGUGCGGCUGAUUAGGUAGUUGGUGGGGUAACGGCCCACCAAGCCAGCGAUCAGUAACUGGUGUGAGAGCACGACCAGUCACACGGGCACUGAGACACGGGCCCGACUCCUACGGGAGCAGCAGUAAGGAAUAUUGGUCAAUGGACGCAAGUCUGAACCAGCCAUGCCGCGUG
rnacentral:rRNA from 1 species